rnacentral:rRNA from 1 species
UAGUAGCGGCGAGCGAAGCGGGAAGAGCUCAAAUUUAUAAUCUGGCACCUUCGGUGUCCGAGUUGUAAUCUCUAGAAAUGUUUUCCGCGUUGGACCGCACACAAGUCUGUUGGAAUACAGCGGCAUAGUGGUGAGACCCCCGUAUAUGGUGCGGACGCCCAGCGCUUUGUGAUACAUUUUCGAAGAGUCGAGUUGUUUGGGAAUGCAGCUCAAAUUGGGUGGUAAAUUCCAUCUAAAGCUAAAUAUUGGCGAGAGACCGAUAGCGAACAAGUACCGUGAGGGAAAGAUGAAAAGCACUUUGGAAAGAGAGUUAACAGUACGUGAAAUUGUUGGAAGGGAAACGCUUGAAGUCAGACUUGCUUGCCGAGCAAUCGGUUUGCAGGCCAGCAUCAGUUUUCCGGGAUGGAUAAUGGUAGAGAGAAGGUAGCAGUUUCGGCUGUGUUAUAGCUCUCUGCUGGAUACAUCUUGGGGGACUGAGGAACGCAGUGUGCCUUUGGCGGGGGUUUCGACCUCUUCACACUUAGGAUGCUGGUGGAAUGGCUUUAAACGA